CAAUCGGCCCUUUUCAGGGCCACCAUAGAAUUUAUAUACGUGGAA
rfam:Trichomalopsis sarcophagae strain Alberta scaffold31207, whole genome shotgun sequence.